rnacentral:misc_RNA from 1 species
GGAUUCUUAAUUAUUUUUGUCAAAUUUCUAAAGCAAAAAACAGUGAUUAAUUUACCCCAUAGUAUAAGAAGGGGUUGGCAAAUUGAUCACAGUGGUCUUCACUUUAGUCAUCAUGUUAAUACUGUUAGUGAUCCCUUGUGAUCCAAUUCCGCUGUCCUUAAUACCCUGGAACGGAAAAUGAUCCGGUCCACGAGCAGGAGCUGAGUUAAUCUGAACGGUUCCGGUUUCCAUUGCAUCACUGAUCAGUAUUGCUUUGUUGAUGUCUUUGGUGAACACACAACCCUGCAGACCGAAAUUGCUAGCAUUGCAGUGGUGAAUUCCUUCUUCGACUGAGUUUAUCCGAAUAACGGGCAAAACUGGACCAAAGGGUUCUUCCCAAGCGAUUCUCAUGUCCGGCCUAACAUUGUCUAACAACAAGGGCCAGAUAAGGUUGCCUUCUCUCUUGUAUGGCUGGCAAAAUGUUGCAUCUUUCUCCUUUGCGUCCAUGACCAACCCCUCGAUGAAAUUUGCGGAUGACUCGGAGACAACUGGAGUGAUAUCACAAUUAUCUUCAGGUGGCCCAACGGUUAACUUUGCCACUUUGGCAUUUACCUUCUCAACAAGAAUGUCAGCAACAGAUUCCAUCACCAACACGACCUUAACAGCUGUGCAUCUUUGACCACUGUAAGAAAAUCCUCCUUUCACAAUGUUUCCAGCAGCCAAAUCUAAAUCAGCAUCCUCGAGCACGAUACAAGCAUCCUUUCCUCCCAGCUCCAUCUGUAGAGGGACCAUUCCUGCUUUCUUCGAGAUUGCAACACCGGUGUCUCCACCAGUGAAGCUUAUACAGUUUACUCCAGGAUGCAUAGUGAGAAAAUCUCCGAUUUCAGAACCUUUUCCGGUCACACAACUGAUAAGGCCUUUAGGGAAUCCAGCUAAGUGGAA